UUUUCGGCACACAACUUCUGCCAGCUGAAAGGUCCUUCUGUUGUUCUCCAGUACUUCGCUGAAAUUAUUAACCAUCAUUCCUUUUAAUGCAAAGUCAAGCAGGGGAGAUUGUAGCAUAAUUAUUUACAGGUGCAGGAAGUUUAUACUCACUUGUUUGAUUUGAACAGGUGCAGAGAAUAAGCAACCCCACAGAACAGGAGGUAGUAACACUGGGGAGGUGGCAAUGAACAGCAGUACUUCUGCAAGAAUCCAGAUCUAUUGCCUUGUACCUGAAAUGUGUACCUGAGUAACCACAACAACUGACGUUCAGAAGGCUUACAUCAAACCCUGAGCUGAACAACAAAUAUAAAAAUCCCUUUUGAUAAACAUCUAACUGGUUGAUGGUGGUGCUUUAUAAAGAAGGAGAGUUUACACACAAGCCUUAUAAAAACAGAACGUGAAAUAUUGAGGAAUUGGUGCUGUCUGAGACCCCUGAGGAGAUACCAGAUAUUCUAGGAAGCUAACAGAGUGCUCAGAGCAAGUCAGUUGCAUCUUUUUUCCUCUUUUAACUCAAAAAUAUUCACCUCAGCCUACCAUUAAGCAAAUAAGGGUAAGAAUGGAAGAAUGAAAACCUUCAUUCUAGACAGGAAUGUAUCCAGAAAAACAAACAAGCUACGUGAUGACAUCUUCUACUUAACCUCUUACUGUUGUGUGAAAGUGCAGAAAAGGAAGUGACACGGAAGUAAGGAAAGCAAGUGACUGAGCAAACGACAGUGAUUAGGAUGUUUUGGCAGAAGCUGGGAGUCCUGGAUUUUAGGAAAUCUUCAGCUAAUAUUAUACAAAGUGAUGACAGUCACAAACAACAGUGGUCACACUGAAUAUGGUCAGCUACAACCCACAAUUUCAACCUAGCUCAUCAGUUGGAGCACAGUAUACCUGAACCACCUCCCAAAGAAUGCAGCUGUCCAGUGGUUUAAGCCAGACAUACUUGAAGCUGCCAUCUCCUGUGUCUUCUGACCUUUCUGGAAAUAUAUAUACAUUUUCACCUGGCUGGCUUGGUUCUUAAAUGAUACAGAUUCAGAAUUUAAAUACUCUUUAAAAAAAAAAAAAAAAAAAGCUUUUCAGCACUGAAAGACUUGCGUCUUGUUGAAGGGGAUGGAUGAUUUACUGCCCCGGUUGUUAAGUUACCAGAAGACAAUGAAUUAGAAAAGUAGCUAUAAAAACUCAACUCUAUUAAGUUAUUUAAGUGAAAGACUCUAAUGUAAGACCCAAUCUCUUAAAAUGUUCCUUAAUAUUAAAUUAUUUUCAAGCAUUCUUACAAAGGGAACCAGUAAUUUUUUAGGAAAUUUACUCUGGUAGUUCUCUAGUUCUCUUCAUUUCACCAGCACUUGAGGGGAAAAAAAAUAAAAGUCUUUUAUAAUCCUUCA
rnacentral:lncRNA from 1 species